rnacentral:rRNA from 1 species
GGGUAUGUAGGCGGUCUUAUAAGUCAGAUGUUAAAUCUACGGGCUCAACCCGUAGCCGCAUUUGAUACUGUUUGACUAGAGAAUGCUAGAGGAAAGCGGAACUUCCAGUGUAGCGGUGAAAUGCGUAGAUAUUGGAAGGAACACCAGUGGCGAAGGCGGCUUUCUGGGGCAUUUCUGACGCUGAGGUACGAAAGCUAGGGGAGCAAACGGGAUUAGAUACCCCGGGUAGUCCUAGCCCUAAACGAUGUUCACUAGGUGUUAAAGGUAUCGACCCCUUUAGUGCCGCAGCUAACGCGUUAAGUGAACCACCUGGGGAUUACGAUCGCAAGAUUAAAACUCAAAAGAAUUGACGGGGGCCCGCACAAGCGGUGGAGCAUGUGGUUUAAUUCGAUGCUACGCGAAUAACCUUACCUGGGCUUGACAUGCUAGUAGUAAAAACCUGAAAAGGCAAUGAUCUAACUUUGUUAGAAGCUAGCACAGGUGCUGCAUGGCUGUCGUCAGUUCGUGUCGUGAGAUGUUUGGUUAAGUCCAACAACGAACGUAACCCCCAUUGUUAGUUGAUAACGCGUUAAGGCGAUCACUCUAGCGAAACUGCCCGGGAUGACCGGGAGGAAGGUGGGGAUGAGGUCAAGUCAUCAUGG